rnacentral:rRNA from 1 species
UACGGGGGGGCAAGCGUUGUUCGGAAUUACUGGGCGUAAAGGGCUCGUAGGCGGCCAACUAAGUCAGACGUGAAAUCCCCAGGCUCAACCUGGGAACUGCGUCUGAUACUGAUUGGCUUGAAUCCGGGAGAGGGAUGCAGAAUUCCAGGUGUAGCGGUGAAAUGCGUAGAUAUCGUCAAGAACACCGAUAGCGAAGGCAGCUUACUAGGCUGUAACUGACGCUGAGGCACGAAAGUGUGGGGAUCAAACAGG